UUUUAAUUGGGGGAUUGUUUGAAUGGUUUGACGAGGGGGUGGAUUGAGAUGUGUAGCGUGGGUUGAAAUUGGAUUGCUUGUGCGGAUCCAGGUUGUUGUUAGUAAGACGGGAAGACCCCGGGAGCUUUAUAUUAAUUAUUUGCUUGGGGCGAGAGUAUGUUUUUCACGUGCUUGCGGAUCCUGUCGAUUUUGUAGGGGUAGAGGAUAGAGUUACCCCGGGGAUAACUAAGCAAUGAUAAUGCGAGCUCUUAUCAAAUUAUUAAGUUGCUAUCUCGAUGUUGGCUUAGAGUAAGGACGGUGGUGUAGCAGUCACUGUUUGUGGUCUGUUC
rnacentral:rRNA from 1 species